rfam:Candidatus Roizmanbacteria bacterium RIFOXYA1_FTLL_41_12 rifoxya1_full_scaffold_618, whole genome shotgun sequence.
GCUCUCAUAGUCUAGUGGCCUAGGACAGCGCCCUCUCACGGCGCAGACACGGGUUCGAAUCCCGUUGAGAGCA